rnacentral:rRNA from 1 species
GAUGAACGCUGGCGGCGUGCCUAAUACAUGCAAGUCGAGCGAACAGACGAGGAGCUUGCUCCUCUGACGUUAGCGGCGGACGGGUGAGUAACACGUGGAUAACCUACCUAUAAUACUGGGAUAACUUCGGGAAACCGGAGCUAAUACCGGAUAAUAUAUUGAACCGCAUGGUUCAAUAGUGAAAGACGGCUUUGCUGUCACUUAUAGAUGGUUCCGCGCCGCAUUAGCUAGUUGGUAAGGUAACGGCCUACCAAGGCAACGAUGCGUAGCCGACCUGAGAGGGUGAUCGGCCACACUGGAACUGAGACACGGUCCAGACUCCUACGGGAGGCAGCAGUAGGGAAUCUUCCGCAAUGGGCGAAAGCCUGACGGAGCAACGCCGCGUGAGUGAUGAAGGUCUUCGGAUCGUAAAACUCUGUUAUUAGGGAAGAACAAAUGUGUAAGUAACUAUGCACGUCUUGACGGUACCUAAUCAGAAAGCCACGGCUAACUACGUG